UACGUAGGGUGCAAGCGUUGUCCGGAUUUACUGGGCGUAAAGAGCGCGUAGGCGGUCUGUUAAGUGUAGAGUGAAAUCUCCAGGGCUCAACCCGGAAACUGCUCUGCAUACUGGCAGACUUGAGGGUCGAAGAGGUUUAUGGAAUUCCUGGUGUAGCGGUGAAAUGCGUAGAUAUCAGGAGGAACACCGGUGGUGUAGACGGCUCUCUGGACCGUAACUGACGCUGAGGCACGAAAGCGUGGGUAGCAAACAGG
rnacentral:rRNA from 1 species